UACGUAGGGUGCGAGCGUUGUCCGGAAUUACUGGGCGUAAAGAGCUCGUAGGUGGUUUGUCGCGUUGUUCGUGAAAACUCACAGCUCAACUGUGGGCGUGCGGGCGAUACGGGCAGACUGGAGUACUGCAGGGGAGACUGGAAUUCCUGGUGUAGCGGUGGAAUGCGCAGAUAUCAGGAGGAACACCGGUGGCGAAGGCGGGUCUCUGGGCAGUAACUGACGUGGAGGAGCGAAAAGCGUGGGGAGCGAACAGGA
rnacentral:rRNA from 1 species